rnacentral:tRNA from 1 species
GACCUUGUAGCUCAGACGGAGGAACAUCGUUCUAGAAAUGCGAAGGUCGCGGGUUCGAAUCCCAGCCGCGGUCA